rnacentral:rRNA from 1 species
CGCGUGAGUGAAGAAGGCUUCGGGUUGUAAAGCUCUUUCAGAUGGGAAGAACGGACAUGGUUAAUAACUGUGUCUAAUGACGGUACCGUCAGAAGAAGCACCGGCUAACUACGUGCCAGCAGCCGCGGUAAUACGUAGGGUGCGAGCGUUAAUCGGAAUUACUGGGCGUAAAGCGUGCGCAGGCGGUUUUGUAAGACAGGUGUGAAAUCCCCGGGCUUAACCUGGGAACUGCAUUUGUGACUGCAAGGCUAGAGUACGGCAGAGGGGGGUAGAAUUCCACGUGUAGCAGUGAAAUGCGUAGAUAUGUGGAGGAAUACCGAUGGCGAAGGCAGCCCCCUGGGUCGAUACUGACGCUCAUGCACGAAAGCGUGGGGAGCAAACAGGAUUAGAUACCCUGGUAGUCCACGCCCUAACGAUGUCACUAGGUGUUGGGG